CCACGAGCCGAAUUCGGAUUCUAACGGGUUCUAAUGAAAAAUGCAGGAGGAUCGGGGUCCAGUUCUCAGAAGAGGGGGCUGGGCUGCGCUGGGCUGGGCUGGUGUCUGGCUAACACAGAGGCUGAGGGAGGGAUGCGCUGGAAUGAACAUGUGGAGCGAGAAGAAGCCCAGACCAGGUUCUUUGUGUGUCUGUGGCCGACUGCCUUCCUCCAGCUGCAAGUGCAGAGAACGUGUGUCACCACAGGGCUCUUGCACUGUCCAGCACACACUCACGCAAGGUUUAUUUUUAUGAAUACAACGUAAAACCAAGAACAUUCCCAGUCCUCGUUAUCUUCCAUAAGAGCAUCUACCAAAUCUAACUGACAGUCCAAACCUGGACAGUCCCAAACCUGACAUGUUGCCCUCCUUCAAUACGAUGACGUCCCCUCCUGAUCAUGUCACUAUAUACUCCCAAUAAGUAUACUGGGUGGUCAUCUUUAUCCAUGUGCAUAUGCUUCUUUGGUAAAAUUUUUUAAAGCAAAUACUUAAAUUUCUCUAUCCCCAACCUCUUUGUCUUCUUAUUACUAGUUAAUUGGUCUUCUGGCUAAUCACUGGGCGGAUUUCUGUCAUCCCUCUGAAUGUAAUCUAUCUGGAAAAUACUUCCUAUCUGGCUCCCAAACCACAGCAAGACCCAGCUGAAUAAUUGACCAAGACACUGCAGGUCUCAGAGAUUCAGCAGGAAUGCAGAUCAGCAAAUACAUCUUCUUAUUUAGUGACUUGGUAAAACUGAUGUUCCCUUGCUCAGAAAUGGUUAUAUUUUACAACCAACUUUUGUUAAUUGACUACUAUGAACACCCUUGUUAAAAUAUAAAUUGGCGUCAGAAACCUCGUGUACAGUUAGUCCUUGGGACCUCUGCCAAAUACAUCAGGUAGGUCCACGGAAUCCGAAAACCUCACAAGAUUCAACCAAAUCUGGCGAGCAUGGACUGUGCUUAAAUAGUGACGAGUACCAAACACCUGCGAAUAUUUAACCAAGAGGACUUGAUGUUGUCCAGCACCAGAGAAGAAGUGGCUCCUUAUGGAUGCCUCAGCGAGGCUGAUGUCACAGGUGGGUCCCGUUUCUGUGACAAGAGGCAGGGUAAGCUGCCCCAUGAUCCAGCCGUUUUAGACAUGACACAGCAAGCUUUAAAACUGACAUUUCAAGCACCCACAAAGAGAUGGAAUGUGUGGCACUUUGUUUUUAUUUGAAUCAUAAGAGAAACAUUUUUA
rnacentral:lncRNA from 1 species